AGCAGCAUGGCGCAGUCUGGAAGCGCGCGGGGCCCAUACCAUCAGGUAAUAUAUAUGAUACCCCGAGGUCACUCGAUCGAAACGAGUUGCUGCUA